rnacentral:rRNA from 1 species
UACCAGCACCCCGAGUGGUCGGGAAGAUUAUUGGGCCUAAAGCAUCCGUAGCCGGUUCUACAAGUCUUCCGUUAAAUCCACCUGCUUAACAGAUGGGCUGCGGAGGAUACUAUGGAGCUAGGAGGCGGGAGAGGCAAGCGGUACUUAGUGGGUAGGGGUAAAAUCCGUUGAUCCAUUGAAGACCACCAGUGGCGAAGGCGGCUUGCCAGAACGCACUCGACGGUGAGGGAUGAAAGCUGGGGGAGCAAACCGG